AUAAAUAUAUUUAAUAAAUUUUAAUAGAUGUAAUAUUACGCUUGUUAGAAAAAUUAUUUAAGUUAAUAGUCUAUUAACCAUAGAAGCUAAUAUGAAAUUAAAGAAAAGCUAACAUGAAAUUAUAGAAAAGGCAAACUUAGCAGCUUGUAAACCCCACAUUUACAUAAUGAUUAUUUUUUCCCCAGUAAAGUCAUGGCCAAAAUUAAACUUAAUCCAAUUAUUAAACUUCAAUUCAAUCUUCACAGCCUACUCUUAGCCAAGACUUUACUGGAAAUUAUAAAUCUAUUGAUAUUUAAUAAGAUUUUUAACUUUUAAAAAUAAUAAAAUUAGCCAUAUUUUAAUCUUAUCAUUUUAUUUUUAAUAUUUUAAAUCUUGAAUUUUCAAUUAAAAUAUUUUAAUAUAUAAAAAUAAUAA
rnacentral:misc_RNA from 1 species